GACGAACGCUGGCGGCGUGCUUAACACAUGCAAGUCGAACGGGCCUGUCUUCUUUUUUGGGGGUGGGUUGAGUGGCGAACGGGUGAGUAUCACGUGAGUAACCUGCCCUUCGGUCCUGGAUAACCGCUUGAAAGGGCGGCUAAUACGGGGUGGUCCGGUUGGUCCGCAUGGGCUGGUCGGGAUAGAUUCACUGUUUUUGGUGUUUCGGCGGGGGAUGGGCUCGCGGCCUAUCAGCUUGUUGGUGGGGUGAUGCCUACCAAGGCGGUGACGGGUAGCCGGCCUGGGAGGGUGGGCGGCCACACUGGGACUGAGAUACGGCCCAGACUCCUGCGGGAGGCAGCAGUGGGGGGUAUUGCACAAUGGGCGGAAGCCUGAUGCAGCGACGUCGCGUGAGGGAUGGAGGCCUUCGGGUUGUGAACCUCUGUUUCCGGUGGUGAAGGCCCUGUCCGUGUGGUGGGGUUGACGGUAGCCGGGGAUGAAGCGCCGGCUAACUACGUG
rnacentral:rRNA from 1 species